GAGUUUAUCUUAAAUAGUUAUAUUUUAAGUAUAUUUAUCAUUCCCGUGAGCUUUUAAUAGUAAUAAAAUAUAAGUAUUAUUAAAUGGAAUGAUUCAAAAUUAUCGAUUUAAUAUAAUAUACCAUGUGUACAAUUAACGGCAAAAUAUUGAACCGCCUAAUUUUUAUUCCUUAGAAAAUGAUCUAAUAGGUAUUACCUAAUCAAGUUUUUGCUGUUCAAUAUUUUGCCGAAAUUAUUUUUUCAAUACUUUAUCGUUCAAAUGUUUGCCAUUUAUAGAUUUCGUCGGUUUUUUCGAUUCAAGAUUUUGAUAUAGUCCCCCAGAAGUCCCAAAGGGACUGAGCAUCGACGUUAAAAAGAAUUGAUUAUUGUUGUUAAAUAUGACACAGAUAAUAAACAAAAUUGAAAUAGAGAACCGACA